rnacentral:lncRNA from 1 species
CGUCAUGAACGGGGAGGAAUGUCCGGGGUGCAAAUAGAACGUGUGUCUCAUUUCAGAAGAAAUGAGGCGACGUUGCGGAGGUCCAGGCGGUUGGCCCGGUGGAGGUCCUGGAGGAGACGGUCCCGGCGGUGGAGGUCCAGGCGGAGGUCCAGGCGGUCCUGGAGGAGACGGUCCCGGCGGUGGAGCUCCAGGCGGUCGGCCCGGUGGAGGUCCUGGAGGAGACGGUCCCGGCGGACCGCCAGGACCUCCAGGUCCAGGCGGUUGGCCCGGUGGAGGUCCUGGAGGAGACGGUCCCGGCGGUGGAGGUCCAGGCGGUUGGCCCGGUGGAGGUCCUGGAGGAGACGGUCCCGGCGGUGGAGGUCCAGGCGGUCGGCCCGGUGGAGGUCCUGGAGGAGACGGUCCCGGCGGUGGAGGUCCUGGCGGUCGGCCCGGUGGAGGUCCUGGCGGUCGGCCCGGUGGAGGUCCUGGAGGAGGCUGGGGGAUCCGGCGGUGUUUAGCUCCUCAUCCAUGGAAGCGUCCUCAUGGUGCAGGCGGUCAAGCAGCUGGAUGACUGACUGGUUCUUUAUGUCCCGGAGCAGAGGACGGACCGAAGGCCUACAGCGCAGCAGACUAGAGACUCUGUGGAACCGGUUCAAUUAA